rnacentral:rRNA from 1 species
GAUGAACGCUGGCGGCGUGCCUAAUACAUGCAAGUCGAGCGAACAGACGAGGAGCUUGCUCCUCUGACGUUAGCGGCGGACGGGUGAGUAACACGUGGAUAACCUACCUAUAAGACUGGGAUAACUUCGGGAAACCGGAGCUAAUACCGGAUAAUAUAUUAAACCGCAUGGUUCAAUAGUGAAAGACGGUUUUGCUGUAACUUAUAGAUGGAUCCGCGCCGCAUUAGCUAGUUGGUAAGGUAACGGCUUACCAAGGCAACGAUGCGUAGCCGACCUGAGAGGGUGAUCGGCCACACUGGAACUGAGACACGGUCCAGACUCCUACGGGAGGCAGCAGUAGGGAAUCUUCCGCAAUGGGCGAAAGCCUGACGGAGCAACGCCGCGUGAGUGAUGAAGGUCUUCGGAUCGUAAAACUCUGUUAUUAGGGAAGAACAAAUGUGUAAGUAACUAUGCACGUCUUGACGGUACCUAAUCAGAAAGCCACGGCUAACUACGUG